rnacentral:piRNA from 1 species
UACUAGCACAUUUAUCACAACAGUGGAGGU